rnacentral:lncRNA from 1 species
AUUUUUCCCUGUAGGUUGAAGAAGGAAUACAGAUUUAAUUUAAAUGUAAAACCCUCUCUAUCUUUAGCUUCGCAAAUUUUAGAUUUUAUUUUUUUCACACUGCUAUCUGCUAAGCCAUAUUUUAUCAUCAUUGGAAGUUGAAAAACUUGAUUCCAGAGGCAAAGCUGAUGAAGAAAAUAAGAAUUCAUUCACCUACAGGCUACAAUUCUAGUUAUUUCGAAUUUAAUGUUAUAUAUGAACUCUUUAUUGUAGAGAAAAUGUUGACUCUUGAUUCGGUUUGUUAAACUCAUUAGUUAGGAAAUUAGUUAGUGAGUUAGAAAGUUAGUUAGGAGCCUUAGAUUCUAAAUAAUUGUCUGGUAAUAGUUGUAACUGAAUCUUGCAUACACUUCUUGUAUAUCUCUGUGACCUUUUCCUAUAAAUGUGACCAAGGUUGAGAACGUGAAAGUGUGAGCAAGAGAAUGUGGAGAAUCACAUUCUAUGAGUGAGCAAGAGAGAUGAUAUUCUUUAGCAAGAGAAAGUGAGAUGGUGAGAGAAAAUCUCUGUAACACCAUUUUCUGUAACUUUCUGUGAGAGCUUACUAGUGAGGUCUUCUGGUUCUUCCCGGUUGAGUGGUGAGUGGUGGUGUUUUGUGUAAGAUACACACUGUGUAAUUUCCUCUUUUAAUGGCAGAUUGACUGGGGUUAAAUCCCUGCAAUGGUUGAUGAAAUUUUGUCCCAAAAACUUGAAGUUCUUGUGUCCAUUAAUCUCAGUUCUUUCCUGGUUUUAUGUUUCUGCCAUUUGCUAUAUUUUCUUUCCUAUUGUUACUGCAAAUCUGAAUUGAUCAUUAUUCCUGGGACCUGUGAGAUGAGAAAAAAUCCUAGCAUUUAUAUUUACUCUUAAAUUAUUCUUUAUAUUUUCCUAUAUAACAUUGUUGAGUUAGUAGUCAGGGAGAUUCUGGAGUGAUAAAGUUAUUCUUUAUAUUUUCCUACUAGGUUUGGAUGCUCAAAUGGGAGACAAAAAACAACCUAAUGAGAGGUCGGAAAUAUGAAAUCAUUUCACUAGGAUACUUGAUGUAGAAAGAGCAAAAUGUAAUUAUUGUGGGAGAACAUUUAAGGCUAAUACUAAUAGUGGAACUUCUAACAUGUGGAAGCAUUUAAAAAUUUGUUAUGCAUAUAAGAGCACUGGGGUUGAUGAC